CACAGAGAGAUUGGUGGCGAAAUGUUAAACACGGAUGCUACAAUGACCAUUGUUAGCCUAUUGCAGUUUUUCAUGGAAGGAAACCUAAUUGCAAUUCAGAGCACAUUCCUGCAACUUCAAUGUUAAGAAUAGAGAAAUUGGGAUUAGAAAGCAAAGGGGGGAAAGUUGUAAAUAUUGGAACCAUUUUGUGUUGCUGGAGCUUUGACCAUAUUAGCCUCUAUAGAGGAAUGCCCUUGCACAUGUGGACUUCUCAUGUGCAUAAUCGUCAGAUUUUCAUGAAAAAGAGGACACCCAGUGAGAUGGCACGCUUCUCGUUUAUGUUGGUCGGAUGCUGCUGUACUACUUGGUAUAUUGUACAUGUAUACUUAUUGAGGUGUCAUAGAAUGUUUGUAUUCACUUUGUGCAAGUAGAAGGCUCAUUUAUAUGAUGGGCCCACCGUGGAUCUGGCCCAUGCAUAAAAAAUCCUAAAGGAAAUCUAGGAGAUUUUUAGCACGUGGUCAUUGAAAUUCACAGAAGUAACUUUCAUGUUAUUUCGAAUUAAUACCUUUUAAUUAACACUAAUUUUUCUCUAAUGCUCUCAUGCU